rnacentral:rRNA from 1 species
UAAACAGCAGGACGGUGGCCUUGGAAGUCGGAAUCCGCUAAGGAGGGUGUAACAACUCACCUGCCGAAUGAACUAGCCCUGAAAAUGGAUGGCGCUUAAGCGUAUUACCCAUACUCCGCCGCCAGGGUAGAAACGAUGCCCUGGCGAGUAGGCAGGCGUGGGGGUCAGUGACGAAGCCUUGGGAGUGAUCCCGGGUCGAACGGCCCCUAGUGCAGAUCUUGGUGGUAGUA